rnacentral:rRNA from 1 species
GCCGGUGUGUGAAGAAGGCCUUCGGGUUGUAAAGCACUUUUGUCAGGAACGAAACGGUGGGGGCUAAUAUCCUCUGCUAAUGACGGUACCUGAAGAAUAAGCACCGGCUAACUACGUGCCAGCAGCCGCGGUAAUACGUAGGGUGCGAGCGUUAAUCGGAAUUACUGGGCGUAAAGCGUGCGCAGGCGGUUGUGCAAGACAGAUGUGAAAUCCCCGGGCUUAACCUGGGAAUUGCAUUUGUGACUGCACGGCUAGAGCGUGUCAGAGGGGGGUAGAAUUCCACGUGUAGCAGUGAAAUGCGUAGAUAUGUGGAGGAAUACCGAUGGCGAAGGCAGCCCCCUGGGAUAACACUGACGCUCAUGCACGAAAGCGUGGGGAGCAAACAGGAUUAGAUACCCUGGUAGUCUACGCCCUAAACGAUGUCUACUAGUUGUCGGGUCUUAAUUGACUUGGUAACGCAGCUAACGCGUGAAGUAGACCGCCUGGGGAGUACGGUCGCAAGAUUAAAACUCAAAGGAAUUGACGGGGACCCGCACAAGCGGUGGAUGAUGUGGAUUAUUCGAU